rnacentral:rRNA from 1 species
GUGGGGAAUAUUGGACAAUGGGCGAAAGCCUGAUCCAGCCAUGCCGCGUGUGUGAAGAAGGUCUUCGGAUUGUAAAGCACUUUAAGUUGGGAGGAAGGGCAGUAAGUUAAUACCUUGCUGUUUUGACGUUACCGACAGAAUAAGCACCGGCUAACUUCGUGCCAGCAGCCGCGGUAAUACGAAGGGUGCAAGCGUUAAUCGGAAUUACUGGGCGUAAAGCGCGCGUAGGUGGUUUUGUAAGUUGGAGGUGAAAUACCCGGGCUCAACCUGGGAACUGCCUCCAAAACUGCAUGACUGUAGUACGGUAGAGGGUAGUGGAAUUUCCUGUGUAGCGGUGAAAUGCGUAGAUAUAGGAAGGAACACCAGUGGCGAAGGCGACUACCUGGACUGAUACUGACACUGAGGUGCGAAAGCGUGGGGAGCAAACAGGAUUAGAAACCCGGGUAGUCC